CCUACGGGAGGCUGCAGUGAGGAAUAUUGGUCAAUGGACGCAAGUCUGAACCAGCCAUGCCGCGUGCAGGAAGACGGCUCUAUGAGUUGUAAACUGCUUUUGUACAAGGGUAAACUCAGGUACGCGUAUCUGUCUGAAAGUAUCGUACGAAUAAGGAUCGGCUAACUCCGUGCCAGCAGCCGCGGUAAUACGGAGGAUCCAAGCGUUAUCCGGAUUUAUUGGGUUGAAAGGGUGCGUAGGCGGGCUGUUAAGUUAGUGGUGAAAUCCCGAGGCUCAACUUCGGAAUUGCACUUGAUACUGUUCGGCUAGAGAGCAGUUGCGGUAGGCGGAAUGUAUGGUGUAGCGGUGAAAUGCUUAGAUAUCAUACAGAACACCGAUUGCGAAGGCAGCUUACCAAGCUACUACUGACGUUGAGGCACGAAAGCGUGGGGAGCAAACAGGAUUAGAUACCCUAGUAGUC
rnacentral:rRNA from 1 species